rnacentral:rRNA from 1 species
AUUGAACGCUGGCGGCAGGCUUAACACAUGCAAGUCGAACGGAGCGGCGGACGGGAGCGUAAUGCUUAGGAAUAUGCCUGGUAGUGGGGGAUAAGGUCCGGAAACGGGCGCUAAUACCGCAUAGUAUCAGAUGAGCCUUGGUCGGAUUAUGUAGGUGGUGGGGAAAAGGCCUACGAAGGCGACGAUCCGUAACUGGUCGGAGGGGAUGAUCAGUCACACGGGAACGGAAACACGGUCCAGACUCCUACGGGAGGCAGCAGUGGGGAAUAUUGGACAAUGAGCGAAGGCCUGAUCCAGACCUCCCGCGUGUGGGUAGAAGGUCUUCGGUUUGUAAAGUACGUUAAGUGGGGAGGCGUUACCAACAGAAUAAGCAACGGCUAACUUCGUGCCAGCAGCCGCGGUAAUUC